CUCUGGUCACUUAUUAACUGUCUGGCUGGGGUGGGGUUGACAGAGGCCUGGCUCUUUGACAGAUUCUGACUUGGUUCCAGGAAGGGGAUAGGGGCGAUGAUGAUGAUGAAGAAGAAUCCAAGCUUGUGGGAACAUGGUCUGCCAAGGGCCUGGCAUGAAUAGGGCUCUGUGGGAAGACCUUGGACCACUUCACUUCUCACUCUCUCCUCCACACCAGGAGGAGGGGAAAGGUGAUGGAUCAGGAAAGUGAUAUCAGGUAAAGUGAUUUGCCUCAGGCCAAACAGACUCUUCAGUUGUGUCUUUAGCCCAGGUCAGCUUGUGGUUCUUUGACUUGCAGGCAGAUGGCUCAGAGCAAGGAGGGCACACAGAGUUGACUUCAGAGUUUUCCAGUAUUAACUUCUCCCAUAUCCAGCAUCCUGCACGGAGUCUAGAACUGCGGAAAGACCAGCCUUGUAACCAGCCUUUGCCUGCCCUUUCCCAUGUGUACCCAAGAACAAGUGAGUAUAACCAUAUCAACUGAUAUCUCAGCAGCCAGCAGGUCAACAUGGUGUGGAAGAAAGAGCUCAGAUCUCCUAGGAGAUGACAAGGGUUCAGUGCCAGAGCUGUGGCAGCUGCUGUGUGAGCCUGGGGUGUCACAUCAAGUCUGACUGAGGUUUUCUUUUACUCUCGGGUCACACACGUCUAUCGGAAGCCACCCACAGAGGUAGCUGUGGACUUCGGCCUUUAUUCUUUGGAGUCUUUGGAGUCUCACACUCUCUUCUCUCUAAGAUGCUAAUAACCGUCAGAUAACAGUGGCUCACAUGUUUGAUCAUGAGUAAUGCAAGGACAAGUUGGCCACUGAUGCAAAUUCUCACUGCCAACCUGACCAGCUCACUUACAUCAUAUGCACAUGGAAAGCCACUUCUGUACCAGCCUGUGGAGACUCACACAAAUGAGGAUGGAGACCACUGUGCCUCUAUUUACUUUGAGGAACUGGCUCGUGGAACUAUCAGGACAGACAGGCUGGAUGCUUUCACACGGAGGUGUCAUAGUUUCUAAUUUUACUCAGCUCUGCCCAGUUCCUCGGUGUGAUCGAUCCACAUGCCUACCUUGGAUAACUGUUCUCUGUUCUUCUCUCCUGCUCCUCCCACCCUUAUAUGUAUGUGGCUUCUGGGAGAAGACCCCAGACCUGAUUCCAUCUUGCAGCUGUCUCUCCUAGUGACUGACAGCCGUUCUCCGUGAAGCAUCUACACAGGAGCAGUGUGGUUUUCGAGAUCUCAGCCGGGGCAGCAUUCCGAACUGCAGGUGGAGGCCCUGGGCUCGUUCCCCAGGCUCAAGUUCUCCCCUGAAAACCUUAAAUCUUUGCUCUUAAGAGUCUCGCCUGACAGACGUGCCCCCCACUCCCCACCCAGUGUGGAGGGCAGUCUGCUUUACUGAAGGCUUAUUGAAUGUCAAUAUUAACCACAUCUAAAUAAAGAUAUUUUCAGAGCAACAUCUGGAUGGGUGUUUGACUAAACAACGGGACACUGCAGCCAAGCAAUUCUGAAGCCUGAAAUGAGCCACCGUGAGCACCCGAGCUGACUCACUGGGCCCACACUUACCCCUCUGCUGGCCUUUCCCCACACAUCAGUCAGCAUGACCCAUGAGGAUCUGAGUCACAGCAUGGCUGUCUCUGCUCCAACUAAACACAGCUUCCCACUUCCCACUCAGCCAAUCCACACGCUUCCUUCCAGCCGUGGCUUCCCGCGGGCACAUCCUCUUCAUCUUUGACUUGAGCUCCAAAAUUUUGCUCUUUACUCUUUGGGCUUCAUCAACCCUCUUGCUUCCAUGCCCCCCCUAAACACAUCAAAUUAUGUUUUAUUAACAGUGGCAUCUUUAUAUACACGUGUCCUUGUUCUUAUGCUCUCCUUGUGGCUGCUUCCACUUCCUGACUGCCCCAGCAGUGCAGCUGCAACAGUGGACACACGUGUAUCUCUGCGGUGCAUCAACGAAGAGUCCUUUCGGUAUAUACUCAAGAGUGAGUGGUACAGCUGGGUCCCAUGGUGGGUCAGUUCUUGUUCUUUGAAGAGCCUACAUGCUGGCUGCCAUAGCACUGCACCAGUUCACACACCCAUGAGCAGUGAACAGGACUUCCUCUUUCCCCACAGCAUAGCCUAGAGUCUAGAGUGAGAGACUCUCAAACAGUUCAGAUUUGCAUUUCCCUGAU